UACAGAGGUCUCAAGCGUUGUUCGGAUUUACUGGGCGUAAAGGGCGCGUAGGCGGCCACGACAAGUCACUUGUGAAAUCUCCGGGCUUAACCCGGAACGGUCAAGUGAUACUGUCGGGCUAGAGUGCAGAAGGGGCAACUGGAAUUCUCGGUGUAGCAGUGAAAUGCGUAGAGAUGUGGAGGAACACCGAUGGCGAAGGCAG
rnacentral:rRNA from 1 species